rnacentral:rRNA from 1 species
UACGAAGGGGGCUAGCGUUGUUCGGAAUUACUGGGCGUAAAGCGCACGUAGGCGGAUCGAUCAGUCAGGGGUGAAAUCCCAGGGCUCAACCCUGGAACUGCCUUUGAUACUGUCGAUCUGGAGUAUGGAAGAGGUGAGUGGAAUUCCGAGUGUAGAGGUGAAAUUCGUAGAUAUUCGGAGGAACACCAGUGGCGAAGGCGGCUCACUGGUCCAUUACUGACGCUGAGGUGCGAAAGCGUGGGAGCAACAGG